rnacentral:rRNA from 1 species
CCUACGGGUGGCUGCAGUGGGGAAUAUUGCACAAUGGGGGGAACCCUGAUGCAGCAAUGCCGCGUGGGUGAAGAAGCACUCCGGUGCGUAAAGCCCUGUCAGCAGGGAAGAAAAUGACAGUACCUGACCAAGAAGCCCCGGCUAACUACGUGCCAGCAGCCGCGGUAAUACGUAGGGGGCAAGCGUUAUCCGGAUUUACUGGGUGUAAAGGGAGCGCAGGCGGUAUGGCAAGUCAGAUGUGAAAACCCAGGGCCCAACCCUGGGACUGCAUUUGAAACUGCCAUACUGGAGUGCCGGAGAGGUAAGUGGAAUUCCUAGUGUAGCGGUGAAAUGCGUAGAUAUUAGGAGGAACACCAGUGGCGAAGGCGGCUUACUGGACGGUAACUGACGCUGAGGCUCGAAAGCGUGGGGAGCAAACAGGAUUAGAUACCCUUGUAGUC